rnacentral:rRNA from 1 species
UACAGAGGUCUCAAGCGUUGCUCGGAAUCACUGGGCGUAAAGGGUGCGUAGGCGGGUCUUUUAAGUCAGGGGUGAAAUCCUGGAGCUCAACUCCAGAACUGCCUUUGAUACUGAGGAUCUUGAGUUCGGGAGAGGUGAGUGGAACUGCGAGUGUAGAGGUGAAAUUCGUAGAUAUUCGCAAGAACACCAGUGGCGAAGGCGGCUCACUGGCCCGAUACUGACGCUGAGGCACGAAAGCGUGGGGAGCAACAGGG